rnacentral:tRNA from 2 species
CAGAUUGUAGCUUAAAUUGGUUAAGUAUAUUAUUUACACUAAUAUUUUAAAUUGUUCAAUUCAAUUUUUUCUGA